rnacentral:misc_RNA from 1 species
GCAAACUUGGUCAUUUAGAGGAAGUAAAAGUCGUAACAAGGUUUCCGUAGGUGAACCUGCGGAAGGAUCAUUAACGAGUUAGGGUCUUCUGGCCCGACCUCCCAACCCUUUGUCUACCUGACCACUGUUGCUUCGGCGAGCCCGUCUGUAGCGGACCGCCGGGGGGUAACCUUCACGGCCCCCUGGCCAGCGCUCGUCGAUAGCCCUAACCUUUUAAAAAUCUUUAACUAAACGUGUCUCAAUCUAAGUACCUUUGUUAAAUAAAAGCAAAACUUUCAACAACGGAUCUCUUGGUUCUGGCAUCGAUGAAGAACGCAGC